UGCGUAGGUGGUUUGAUAAGUUGGCUGUGAAAUACCGGGGGCUUAACCUUGGGGCGUCAGCCAAGACUGUCAGGCUUGGGUAUAGGAGAGGGCAGUGGAAUUUCCGGUGUAGCGGUGAAAUGCGUAGAGAUCGGAAGGAACACCAGUGGCGAAGGCGUCUGCCUGGCCUAAUACUGACACUGAGGCACGAAAGCGUGGGUAGCAAACA
rnacentral:rRNA from 1 species